rnacentral:pre_miRNA from 1 species
CUAGCACUUUGGCUGUGACCUGUGUGUCGUAGUCACAUCACAGUCAGAGUUCUAGCU